UGGCUUCCUCUAGGUUCUACUUCUAAGACCCAGCAGAGGAUACAGAAGGGGAAAUGGUAGUGGAGGUGGGUUGGUGUAAAUUGUUUGGUCACACAGAGACUACAGGAAGUCAGAACUUCCAUGCAAGGCUUCCAAACAACGCCUGGAAGUGUAGAAGAGGAUCUUGGCAUCUUCGGAAAACAUCAUCUACCAAAAAGUAACAAUAACUAGAUUAUAAGUGAGUUGUCGCCUACUGCUCCAGCACUAUGUCUGCCUGCCACCAAGCUUCCCUCCAUAAUGAUCAUGGAUUAACUCUCUGAAAUUGAAUUGUAAGAUCCAUCCACAGUUUCUCGUGCAGUAACCUCUCAGUGCAAGAUGGAAAUUCAUCUCACCAACUACAUGAUAGCCCAUCAACCCUGAACAUCCCCUCUUCCAGCUGGGCCAUCAAUCACCUUUACACUUUUCAGGUCCCUUAGCUUUACUGUCAGCCUUUAAAGUUCCUCUGUGUCCAGCUGUUGUUCUUAGAGAAAGCAACAGCACUCACAAUGAAAAUAAAAUGCAGCUGAUUCAAAA